rnacentral:rRNA from 1 species
AUUGAACGCUGGCGGCAGACUUAACACAUGCAAGUCGAGCGGGGUGAUGGUGCUUGCACUAUCACUUAGCGGCGGACGGGCGAGUAAUGCUUAGGAAUCUGCCUAUUAGUGGGGGACAACAUCUCGAAAGGGAUGCUAAUACCGCAUACGUCCUACGGGAGAAAGCAGGGGAUCACUUGUGACCUUGCGCUAAUAGAUGAGCCUAAGUCGGAUUAGCUAGUUGGUGGGGUAAAGGCCUACCAAGGCGACGAUCUGUAGCGGGUCUGAGAGGAUGAUCCGCCACACUGGGACUGAGACACGGCCCAGACUCCUACGGGAGGCAGCAGUGGGGAAUAUUGGACAAUGGGGGGAACCCUGAUCCAGCCAUGCCGCGUGUGUGAAGAAGGCCUUAUGGUUGUAAAGCACUUUAAGCGAGGAGGAGGCUCUUUUGGUUAAUACCCAAGAUGAGUGGACGUUACUCGCAGAAUAAGCACCGGCUAACUCUGUGCCAGCCGCCGCGGUAA